UACAGAGGUCCCAAGCGUUGUUCGGAUUCAUUGGGCGUAAAGGGUGCGUAGGCGGCGCGGUAAGUCGGGUGUGAAAUCUCGAGGCUUAACCUCGAGCUGUCGGCGGAAACCAUCUGGCUAGAGUCCGGAAGAGGAGAAUGGAAUUCCCGGUGUAGCGGUGAAAUGCGCAGAUAUCGGGAAGAACACCCGUGGCGAAGGCGGUUCUCUGGGACGGUACUGACGCUGAGGCGCGAAAGCGUGGGGAGCAAACAGG
rnacentral:rRNA from 1 species